UACAGGGGUGCAAACGUUGCUCGGAAUCAUUGGGCGUAAAGCGCACGUAGGCGGUUCGUUAUGUCGGAUGUGAAAGCCCUUGGCUUAACCGAGGAAGUGCAUCCGAAACUGGCGAGCUAGAGUACGAAAGAGGAUCGCGGAAUUCCCGGUGUAGAGGUGAAAUUCGUGAGAUAUCGGGAGGAACACCGGUGGCGAAGGCGGCGAUCUGGGUCGAUACUGA
rnacentral:rRNA from 1 species